rnacentral:rRNA from 1 species
CUACGGGCGGCUCCAGUGGGGAAUAUUGCACAAUGGAGGAAACUCUGAUGCAGCAACGCCGCGUGGAGGAUGACACUUUUCGGAGCGUAAACUCCUUUUAUAUAGGAAGAAGAUGACGGUACUAUAUGAAUAAGCGCCGGCUAACUCCGUGCCAGCAGCCGCGGUAAUACGGAGGGCGCAAGCGUUACUCGGAAUCACUGGGCGUAAAGGGCGUGUAGGCGGAUUAAAAAGUCAGAAGUGAAAUCCUAUAGCUUAACUAUAGAACUGCUUCUGAAACUCUUAAUCUAGAAUAUGGGAGAGGUAGACGGAAUUUCUGGUGUAGGGGUAAUAUCCGUAGAGAUCAGAAGGAAUACCGAUUGCGAAGGCGAUCUACUAGAACAUUAUUGACGCUGAGACGCGAAAGCGUGGGGAGCAAACAGGAUUAGAUACCCCUGUAGUC